UUGGAAUGGCGGACCCCGGUGGGUGUUAUGACUGGGCUGCGGUCCUCGUCGGAGCUAUAUCCCCGUUGUGGCUCGAGGGGGAGUUACAGCGGACGUACUCCCGUGUAAAGUGCACGUGUGAGCGCUCCAAGUGCUUUGCUGCGGGGAGCGGAAGCGCGGGCUGCAUGGGCCGUUGUGUCAGUGAGUUGGCACGAAGUCAGGCCCGGCUCAUGUUGACUCGGGCCUUAUACCCGCUAUGCCCCGAGGUUGCAGCACUAAAUUCAUGAGGUCAAUCCCAUUGAACUCGCCGGGACUUAAUUUGUGUACCCGAUGUGCGUUGGGCCGGGAAAAGAUUCCGCAUUGGGCUUGCUGUGCCAGCAAUUCACCCUGUUGGUUAUCGUGGGUUAUAUUAUCAGGACUCAUUUAACCUGGAUUGGAGAUCUAUAUACAAAAGAACAAAAGAUGGGAUACCUUUGAUGCUCUGAAGCCAUCCAGAAGAAGCGAUUCAAAGGAAACCCCACCACGUUCAAGAAGUCUCCGUGAACAUAUUCCACUAACAUUCCCCCAAGUGCCUGGAUCCCAUAGCCACCAGCUUUGUCCCUAGAGAGAAAUUUAAAAAAAUAAAUUGAAGCAGCACUUGGAUGGAAAAGGAUCGGGUAUUUUAGUUUCACCUAGACAUUAUUCUGCAUUACAUAUUUCAAAAGCUAAACAUUUUGUCCAGGAUCUGAAAAUACAGAGAACCAAAUAAAGAGUUUAUGCUCAGUG